UUCUUUGGCUGGGGCCCUGCAGCUGCCCUAGCAUGCCUGCUGCAAAUCAGCUUGAAGUAAGCUGUCUGUAAGUGCCCUGGUGAGUCAGUCAGGGCCCCUCCUAGGAGACAAGGAAUUCUGAGGUCUUGCAAGCACAUGCCUGCCCAUCUGUGGAACGAUUCCAUGGCUAACCCUCCUCUUGCCUCUGGGAACGCUCCUGACUUUUACCUUGCUCAGCACCCACCAAAGUUCUCUACCUGUAGGAAACAUGCUGUGGGGAACUCCGUGCUGGACGUGGGAAGAACCUCUUUGCUUCUGGUGGUGCUGCUGUGCGAGUGGAGGCAAGGCCAAGAGAGACGGGGAGAUAUCAAAGCUCUUGGGAUGGAGCCAGGUCAACUUCCCUUCAACAAAUCAAUUUAAAAAAGCCUGAGUAAAGCCGGCCAGGAUGAUCAAAUAGCCCUUCAUGAAACAAGACCAACCUAGAAGAGGAAACCAUGGCACUUCCCAUUUGUUUGUUAUUCUAAUGGAUCCCUUCAUGCGCACAAGAGAACGACCCCGAUUAUACAAACCCACCAUUUACAAACUGUCGUUAUUCCCAGUGUCUUCCUGUUGGAGGUUUUCAAUCCCAAAAGAAGUUCCUUAGGUGAGCUUUAAUUUGACUGCAACCACUUUCAGCUCCAAGGAGGACACUUCGAUUUGGACACUGGGUAAUAAAAUAAGAAGAUAAAUGCUCUUGCUCUUGAUACCAGAAUCUAAGCCCACUAGGUACUCUGGCAAAAGGAUAUGGUCAGUGUAAGAUGAGAGGAGCUAAAAUGGAAAGAACCAUCUGCAGCUUCUGGUUCCAAAAACAAUGGGUCCGAGUUCUUUAUCAGUACCGAUCAUCCUGGAUCCUAAAAGCAUUUGAGAAGACGAGACCUGUUUUUUUUCCACCUGGCUCAGGUUUCUCGUAGUGCUGUUUCUAUUUUUCAGCCUAAGAAGAGAAGUCUGCACCUGCACCAGAAGGCUUACACAUUCGACUGCUUGAAGAAAGAGGGACGAACAAAAUAAUCUGUAGAAGAUCUCUUUCACCCUUAGACCCUCUGAUUCUGAAAAUCAGAUACUUUAUGUCUGAUAAAUAUAGUUCACUGGAAAGACUGCUGAAUUUCAUACUAGAAUACCUGAGUUUAAAUGCAGAUUUGGAUUAUGAGUUGAAUGAUCUUCAACAGAUUUAAUUUUUUUCAGCUUUUUUUAAACAGCUUUACUGAGGAAAAUUUACAUACCAUAAAAGCCAGCCAUCGAAAGUAUACAGUUCAAUGAUUUUUAGUAAAUUUAUAGAGUUGUGCAACCCUCGCCACAAUGCAAUUGUAUAACAUUUUAAAUAAAUCUUUAAACUCCA